rnacentral:rRNA from 1 species
AUUGAACGCUGGCGGCAGGCCUAACACAUGCAAGUCGAGCGCGCGGCGGACGGGUGAGUAAUGUAUGGGGAUCUGCCCGAUAGAGGGGGAUAACUACUGGAAACGGUGGCUAAUAACGCAUACUAUCGGCUGAACCCAUAUGGGAUUAGCUAUUAGGUGGGGUAAAGGCUCACCUAGGCGACGAUCUCUAGCUGGUCUGAGAGGAUGACAAGCCAAACUGGGACGGAGAAACGGUCCAGACGCCUACGGGAGGCAGCAGUGGGGAAUAUUGCACAAUGGGCGCAAGCCUGAUGCAGCCAUGACGCGUGUAUGAAGAAGGCCUUAGGGUUGUAAAGUACUUUCAGCGGGGAGGCGUGACCCGCAGAAGAAGCACCGGCUAACGCCGUGCCAGCAGCCGCGGUAAGAC